ACUAAGCGUACACGGUGGAUGCCCUGGCAGUCAGAGGCGAUGAAGGACGUGCUAAUCUGCGAAAAGCGUCGGUAAGGUGAUAUGAACCGUUAUAGCCGGCGAUGUCCGAAUGGGGAAACCCAGUGCAAUUCGUUGCACUAUCGUUUGAUGAAUACAUAGUCAAACGAGGCGAACCGGGGGAACUGAAACAUCUAAGUACCCCGAGGAAAAGAAAUCAACCGAGAUUCCCCCAGUAGCGGCGAGCGAACGGGGAGCAGCCCGGAGUCUGAAUCAGCUUGUGUGUUAGUGGAAGCGUCUGGAAAGUCGCAGGGUACAGGGUGAUACUCCCGUACACUAAAGCACACAGGUUGUGAACUCGAAGAGUAGGGCGGGACACGUGGUAUCCUGUCUGAAUAUGGGGGGACCAUCCUCCAAGGCUAAAUACUCCUGACUGACCGAUAGUGAACCAGUACCGUGAGGGAAAGGCGAAAAGAACCCCGGCGAGGGGAGUGAAAAAGAACCUGAAACCGUGUACGUACAAGCAGUAGGAGCCUCUUUAUGGGGUGACUGCGUACCUUUUGUAUAAUGGGUCAGCGACUUAUAUUCUGUAGCAAGGUUAACCGUAUAGGGGAGCCGCAGGGAAACCGAGUCUUAACUGGGCGUUAAGUUGCAGGGUAUAGACCCGAAACCCGGUGAUCUAGCCAUGGGCAGGUUGAAGGUUGGGUAACACUAACUGGAGGACCGAACCGACUAAUGUUGAAAAAUUAGCGGAUGACUUGUGGCUGGGGGUGAAAGGCCAAUCAAACCGGGAGAUAGCUGGUUCUCCCCGAAAGCUAUUUAGGUAGCGCCUCGUGAACUCAUCUUCGGGGGUAGAGCACUGUUUCGGCUAGGGGGUCAUCCCGACUUACCAACCCGAUGCAAACUACGAAUACCGAAGAAUGUUAUCACGGGAGACACACGGCGGGUGCUAACGUCCGUCGUGAAGAGGGAAACAACCCAGACCGCCAGCUAAGGUCCCAAAGUCAUGGUUAAGUGGGAAACGAUGUGGGAAGGCCCAGACAGCCAGGAUGUUGGCUUAGAAGCAGCCAUCAUUUAAAGAAAGCGUAAUAGCUCACUGGUCGAGUCGGCCUGCGCGGAAGAUGUAACGGGGCUAAACCAUGCACCGAAGCUGCGGCAGCGACACUAUGUGUUGUUGGGUAGGGGAGCGUUCUGUAAGCCGUUGAAGGUGGCCUGUGAGGGUUGCUGGAGGUAUCAGAAGUGCGAAUGCUGACAUAAGUAACGAUAAUGCGGGUGAAAAACCCGCACGCCGGAAGACCAAGGGUUCCUGUCCAACGUUAAUCGGGGCAGGGUGAGUCGACCCCUAAGGCGAGGCCGAAAGGCGUAGUCGAUGGGAAACAGGUUAAUAUUCCUGUACUCGGUGUUACUGCGAAGGGGGGACGGAGAAGGCUAUGUUGGCCGGGCGACGGUUGUCCCGGUUUAAGCAUGUAGGCGGAUGUUCCAGGUAAAUCCGGAACGUUAUUAACGCUGAGGUGUGAUGACGAGGCACUACGGUGCUGAAGUGACAAAUGCCCUGCUUUCCAGGAAAAGCCUCUAAGCAUCAGGUAACAUCAAAUCGUACCCCCAAAACCGGACACAGGUGGUCAGGUAGAGAAUACCAAGGCGCUUGAGAGAACUCGGGUGAAGGAACUAGGCAAAAUGGUGCCGUAACUUCGGGAGAAGGCACGCUGAUAUGUAGGUGAAGUGGUUUACCCAUGGAGCUGAAAUCAGUCGAAGAUACCAGCUGGCUGCAACUGUUUAUUAAAAACACAGCACUGUGCAAACACGAAAGUGGACGUAUACGGUGUGACGCCUGCCCGGUGCCGGAAGGUUAAUUGAUGGGGUUAUCCGUAAGGAGAAGCUCUUGAUCGAAGCCCCGGUAAACGGCGGCCGUAACUAUAACGGUCCUAAGGUAGCGAAAUUCCUUGUCGGGUAAGUUCCGACCUGCACGAAUGGCGUAAUGAUGGCCAGGCUGUCUCCACCCGAGACUCAGUGAAAUUGAACUCGCUGUGAAGAUGCAGUGUACCCGCGGCAAGACGGAAAGACCCCGUGAACCUUUACUAUAGCUUGACACUGAACACUGGUCCUUGAUGUGUAGGAUAGGUGGGAGGCUUUGAAGUGUGGACGCCAGUCUGCAUGGAGCCAUCCUUGAAAUACCACCCUUUAAUGGCUGGUGUUCUAACGUGGGCCCCUAAUCGGGGUUGCGGACAGUGUCUGGUGGGUAGUUUGACUGGGGCGGUCUCCUCCUAAAGAGUAACGGAGGAGCACGAAGGUCAGCUAAUCCUGGUCGGACAUCAGGAGGUUAGUGCAAUGGCAUAAGCUGGCUUGACUGCGAGCGUGACGGCGCGAGCAGGUGCGAAAGCAGGUCAUAGUGAUCCGGUGGUUCUGAAUGGAAGGGCCAUCGCUCAACGGAUAAAAGGUACUCCGGGGAUAACAGGCUGAUACCGCCCAAGAGUUCAUAUCGACGGCGGUGUUUGGCACCUCGAUGUCGGCUCAUCACAUCCUGGGGCUGAAGUAGGUCCCAAGGGUAUGGCUGUUCGCCAUUUAAAGUGGUACGCGAGCUGGGUUUAGAACGUCGUGAGACAGUUCGGUCCCUAUCUGCCGUGGGCGCUGGAGAAUUGAGGGGGGCUGCUCCUAGUACGAGAGGACCGGAGUGGACGCAUCACUGGUGUUCGGGUUGUCAUGCCAAUGGCAUUGCCCGGUAGCUAAAUGCGGAAGAGAUAAGUGCUGAAAGCAUCUAAGCACGAAACUUGCCCCGAGAUGAGUUCUCCCUGACUCCUUGAGAGUCCUGAAGGAACGUUGAAGACGACGACGUUGAUAGGCCGGGUGUGUAAGCGCAGCGAUGCGUUGAGCUAACCGGUACUAAUGAACCGUGAGGCUUAACC
rnacentral:rRNA from 1 species